rnacentral:rRNA from 1 species
GUAUCUGGUUGAUCCUGCCAGUAGUCAUAUGCUUGUAUCUGAUUGUUCCUCACAGUAGUCAUACGCUGGUCUCAAAGAUUAAGGCAUGCAUGUGUAAGUCUAAAUAGUUUUAGUGUGAAUGUGUGAAUGUCUCAUUAUUUCAGUUAUAGUUUAUUUGGAUGAAUUUUUUUAUGGAUAACCGUAGUAAUUUUAGGAGUAAUACAUGUUGUAAUCUAUUGGUGAUUUUAUUAUUAGAAUAAAUCCAAUUGUAUUAGUGAGUAAUAAUAAUAGUAUCGAUCGCAUGCUUUUGUAGCGAUAUUCUUUUCAAGUUUGUCCCAUAUCAUUUUUAGAGUGGUAGUAUAUUGGUCUCACAUGGCAGUAGCGGGUAACGAAGAAUUUGGUUUUUAUUUGGGAGAGGGAGCGUGAGAGAUGUCUCCCACAUACAAGGAAGACCGCAGGCGCGCAAUUUCCCCUAUCGUCACACAGGGAGGUAGUCACUAUAAAGCACUAUGGGGCUCCUUUGGUUUUGCAAUUGGAUUGUUUAAAAGGUACAUAUCAUAUCGAUAAUCCAUUGGAGGGCAAGUCUGGUGCCAGCAGCCCGCGGUAAUUCCAGUUUUUUAAUAU